rnacentral:rRNA from 1 species
UCAGGAUGAACGCUAGCGGCAGGCUUAACACAUGCAAGUCGAGGGGCAGCGGAGAGUAGCAAUACUCUGCCGGCGACCGGCGAAAGGGUGCGUAACGCGUGAGCAACUUGCCCGUAUCCGGGACAUAAGCGGUGGAAACGCCGUCUAAUUUCCCAUAACAACAGAGGCCGCAUGACCUUUGUUUGAAAGAUCCGUCGGAUACGGAUGGGCUCGCGAGACAUUAGCUAGUCGGCGUGGUAACGGCACACCGAGGCGACGAUGUCUAGGGGUCCUGAGAGGAAGGUCCCCCACACUGGAACUGAGACACGGUCCAGACUCCUACGGGAGGCAGCAGUGAGGAAUAUUGGUCAAUGGGCGCAAGCCUGAACCAGCCAUGCCGCGUGAAGGAAUAAGGCCCUAUGGGGUCGUAAACUUCUUUUGUGGUGGAGCAAUAAGGUGCACGUGUGCAUCGAUGAGAGUACAUCACGAAUAAGCAUCGGCUAACUCCGUGCCAGCAGCCGC